rnacentral:tRNA from 1 species
GCCGGGAUAGCUCAGUGGUAGAGCAACUGUUUUGUAAACAGUAGGUCGGGGGUUCGAAUCCUCUUCCCGGCUCCA